GGUCUCCUAGCUCAGCUGGUAGAGCUUACGCGUACAAAGCGUAGGUAGGCGGCGUCCAUGCGUGGGUUCGAAUCCCACCGAGGCUA
rnacentral:tRNA from 1 species